AAUAGUUGGGAAAAGAGAAUCUGCAAUAGGCUAGAGCUGCUAUAAGGAGAGGCGUCCCAGUUCUCUUGGAUACCUGAGGGACUGUGAGUAUGCAAGACUGCUCUCCACAUCAAGCAGCACUUUGAUGUGCACAGAAGUAUCACAUCAAGAUUUCAGUUGGUUUCUCAGGGCUGAACAUCUGUGGUGGCAACCUGGCAGGGCAGCGAGCUGGCUUUCGAGGCCAUUUCUGCUUGACUCCCCUGCAGAAAGAGGUGCAGCACCUUUCCAGCUUCCAGCUUCUGACAUGACUUGCAAUCUGCUACUGGCAACAAUCCAGUGCUUGAAGAAAAUGCCAACCAACCCUUAUGAAAUCACUGUGUCUUCUAUUACUACUGGUAGUAGUGUCUCCUCGAGUGAUCUGUUUUGUAACCUCACCUUAUACUUCAGCUCUUCAAGAUCUUCACAUCAUGCAACCCUUCUCUCUGCUGAUGAGAGAACUGAGGUCUCCAGAGCCCACGGCAUGGAUCCCCUUUCUGCUGUAACUCUCCCUGCUCCCAAGGGAGGCUUAAGGAUGU